GCCGCGGUGAGGGGGAACGGGCCCCGCGGGGUCCCGGCCGCCCCUGAGGGCAGCGCGGGGCUCCCGUGACGGCGGAGGGCGCCGGUGGCCGCGGGCUGGCUCGGUGCUCUCCAGCCGUCCCGGCUGGCAGGCCGUGUGGUGAAAUCGGUCAUUCAGGGUAACACGGGCUCGCCCCAGAACGCCCACUGUGCUGGUUUUCCUUCACGGGGAGAAAGGCCGAGGCCCGGGGGUAAGCGGGGUGAUGCUGCGAAUAUCUGUGGAGGCUUCCCGCAGGUAAACACGGUGAAAUCCCAUCGUCAGGGGUUGCUCCAGAGGCGGAAGACAUUUUAGCCGAAAAACAACAUUGAACAACCGGCUAGUUUAAAAUUGUUCGAACAUCAGACAGCCUUCCUCCAGUGGAAAUAGGUGCGGGAGCUUUCAUGGAGCCGAAAAUGGAUUUAGCUCUGAGUGGUGCUCACAGAACAUGUGCCCAUCAGGUUGGACAUCAGCAAGGAUUUCUUCCCUGAAAGGUUGUCAAGCGCUGGCAUGGUGGUGAAGUCACCAUCCGUGGAGGUGUGCAAGAACCAACUGAACUGAAACACUGGGUGCUCUGCUCUGGUUGACAAGGUAGAUCCAGGUCACUCUGGUCCCUUCCAGCCUGGAUUACUGUGUGCUCCCCUGGAACUCUUCCUAACAGCUGAGGGAGCAGCCGGGGGGGGCAGGUGAUGCUCGGCAGCAGACCUGGACACUAACAGAAGUUCCUCAGAGAUCCUGGUAUUGAUAACCACAUAAGCUCUUUGUUCACCAUUGAAUGGGACCUGAUUUUCAUUUUUAAUUUCUAUGUAUCUCAUAUAUAGAGUGUGAAGCCUCCAGACUACAUCUAAGAUGACUUUUUGAUUGUACCAGCAUCACAUUUACCUCUUUCUUCCUCAAUCACAUCAUCUCAUACUCCUGUGCUGAGAACCACAUUCAGUGCACUAAAAACCACUGCCUUUAUUUUCCUUAAAUUAUUUUUUAUUUAUACUAAAACUCCUUGGUUUAGAGAAUCAGACAGUAACAGAAGGUGGCCAGUGGAAAACCUGUCUACAAAUUCUAAAUCCCCUUUCCCAGUAUUGCCAAAGACCAAGGUUUCUGAUUUGGCUCAUGACCAGCAAGCACAAGCUCACAGGCUACAAAUCAGGCUCAGCAAAGGGGGGAUGGGGUUUGCUCUCAACACAAGACAAAUAUAAUGGAAUCUAGGAACAGGCAAAAAGCUAAAUUCCAUGCUUAAUUAUAGUUGUGGAUAAAUUUAAUUCAAAAUUAUACUGCUGAUUAUACUAGGUACAGCUCUCUACAGCUUUCCAAAGGAGAAAAUUCUGUCCGUGAAUUUUGAAUCCUACUGUUGAAUUAGAAGUUUGGGAAAGUUAAAACAGCAAAAACACCCCACACCCCAAAAAGAGACAGAUGGCUGUCACAGAUAGGCUAUAAUCACAUGCCAGCACCUCCCACUGUGCCCUACAUAUCGUACAACGAACCUCCCCAGCCACUCCAGAUGCUUCCCGUUAUCUGUUGUGAACAAGCAGCUGCUGCAGCGGCAAUAGCCCAAGUGCUGUGAGUCAGUCAGUAUUAAUGGCACAAAACCCCUAUCCCUGGCUAAAGCUGCGAGGCAAAAACAAGAUUGCUUACAAAAGGUGUGGCCCAAUUUCAAUUGUUCUGCACACAGGUAAUGGUUGCACUGCAAAUACUCCUAAAGCUGAGCAUUGCUCCCCCGAGCGCAGGGAAUCACACCAUGUAUCAGCCACAGGUAAAUUACAAUUAAGGGCCUUUGACCACUGAGAACGUGAAGGAGGAAGGGAGCAGAUUAACACCAAAGCAAAUACCUGAAAAGAUUGGAGCAACUGAGCUUGAUUUAAUGCUUAAUCAGAUCCAGAAGAGCCCUGACCUACAUAUUGACAGCAUCCCUGGGCUGCAGGCGCAGCCAGUUGAGCAGCCAUGCAGCCACAGGGGAAGAGAGUUUAACAUGCUGAAUGUGAGGAAGCAGCCUCCUGGAUGCAGCCCUGCAUCUGCUCCACAGCCUCACAUUCCACUUUGACAGAGAAACAGGAUUUUUUUUAGCUGCUGGUGGUGAUUUAUAGACUACGGAGGUAACACACUGAUUAUUUUUCAAUACAAAUGUGAUGUGGCAUUGUCAAAGGCUAAUGACAAUCAGGCUUGAAAGAGCUCAGCUUUGCUCCAUCAACAAGUUGGAAAAAUCCACAGAAGUCAUCCUGAAUUCACUGAACCAAGGAGAGCAAGCCAGGGAGAGAGCCAGGUAUGACCAUGGAAUCUGAAAAAGAACCUAAUCUACAUGUAGGGGAGAAUGAGACUUGCUGCAAAAAUCAUCCCUUCUUUUCAGGAAUACAAAAGAUGAAGAACAUUUUUUAAAACAAGCAGCCACAUCAAGUUUGAAAAUAAUUGAACUGAUUGGUUCAGUGUAAAACCAGAAAACAUCAGAAUUAUUCAUGUGAGAGAGAUGGUAGAAGGACACUGGCGAGCUCAAAGGCCUGGGCCACUGUUUUUUAAAGCAGUCUUGGAACAAUGCAGCAGCAAAAGAGGAAAAUUCUUGUUCUCAGUACAAGUCUGAAAAAGCUAAUUAUAUAAAAAGCUAAUUACUGCA